UACGUAGGGUGCAAGCGUUGUCCGGAAUUAUUGGGCGUAAAGAGCUCGUAGGCGGUUUGUCGCGUCGAAUGUGAAAACUCGGGGCUCAACUCCGAGCUUGCAUUCGAUACGGGCAGGCUAGAGUUCGGUAGGGGAGACUGGAAUUCCUGGUGUAGCGGUGAAAAUGCGCAGAUAUCAGGAGGAACACCGGUGGCGAAGGCGGGGUCUCUGGGCCGAUACUGACGCUGAGGAGCGAAAGCGUGGGGGAGCGAACAGG
rnacentral:rRNA from 1 species